GACGAACGCUGGCGGCGUGCUUAACACAUGCAAGUCGAACGGUGAUGCUCCAGCUUGCUGGAGUGGAUCAGUGGCGAACGGGUGAGUAACACGUGAGCAACCUGCCCCAGACUCUGGAAUAAGCGCUGGAAACGGCGUCUAAUACUGGAUACGAAACUGGCCCGCAUGGGCAUGGUUUGGAAAGUUUUUCGGUUUGGGAUGGGCUCGCGGCCUAUCAGCUUGUUGGUGAGGUAAUGGCUCACCAAGGCGACGACGGGUAGCCGGCCUGAGAGGGCGACCGGCCACACUGGGACUGAAACACGGCCCAGACUCCUACGGGAGGCAGCAGUGGGGAAUAUUGCACAAUGGGCGAAAGCCUGAUGCAGCGACGCCGCGUGAGGGAUGACGGCCUUCGGGUUGUAAACCUCUUUCAGCAGGGAAGAAGCGAAAGUGACGGUACCUGCAGAAGAAGCACCGGCUAACUACGUG
rnacentral:rRNA from 1 species